GUAGUUAGCCGUGGCUUCCUCCUUAGGUACCGUCAUUAUCGUCCCUAAAGACAGAGCUUUACAAUCCGAAGACCUUCAUCGCUCACGCGGCGUUGCUGCAUCAGGGUUUCCCCCAUUGUGCAAUAUUCCCCACUGCUGCCUCCCGUAGGAGUCUGGACCGUGUCUCAGUUCCAGUGUGGCCGAUCAGCCUCUCAGCUCGGCUACCCAUCGUUGGCUAGGUGGGCCGUUACCCCGCCUACUACCUAAUGGGACGCGAACCCCUCCUUUAGCGGAUUUCUCCUUUGACCUCUGUGUCAUGCGGCACUGUGGUCUUAUGCGGUAUUAGCACCAGUUUCCCGAUGUUAUCCCUCUCAUUGAGGCAGGUUGCUCACGCGUUACUCACCCGUCCGCCACUAACUCGGCAGGAGCAAGCUCCCGCUUCGUCCGUUCGACUUGAAUGUGUUAUGCACGCCGCCAGCGUUCAUCCUGAGCCAGGAUCAAACUCUGA
rnacentral:rRNA from 1 species